UUUUUUUUUUUUUUUUGAAAAAUAUGCUAACACUAAGUCACUAACCUUAUUUCUAUAUCACCCCUAGUAACAAAUGACAUUUUUGUCCGUUCUUUUUCUUUUUUCUCUGUUUUGGUUUCAGUUUUCCCUUUUUACUUAAUGUCUUCUUCUCUCUCCUCUAAGGUGAGGCAAAACAAGCUGCGAAGGAAGAGGACGGAGCAGGUGGAGGACCCGCGUCACAGUCAAUAGCACCGACGAGAUGGACCAACAAAAGAGCGGCGUCAACUGCAGAAAGCACGCCACUUUUAACAAUAGAAAGCUUGUGGCGGCCAUAUAUAGCAAUGGGCCUGGUGAUCGAGGUAGAGAUGCUCGCAUUUCGAUCAGAAAUCAACCAACAUCUUAAGGGAAUUCUUAUAGGUUUUUAAAAAAGGUUUGUCAAUGGCAGACAUAACCAUGGGUGGAGCAGAGUUGUCCGCAUUUGAGGUAGAAAUGAACCAGCCUUUUAGUCUCAUUAUCAGUUCUUUUUAAUCAACCAAGGAGUUCUUCAAUAGCUCACCUCCAACUCCUCUGAUUUAUUUCAGUACCUUUAUCUCUGAUAUUUAAAGAUUUAUUUUAUUGAAACCUGAAUUUCAAUCAUAUUAUAUUGAUUUAUUCUUUCUAAUUAUACGAAGUAUGAUUUUUUGUUUAUUCUGAUCAAUAAAUUUUGAAAGUCAUUCAUCACACCCCCUCUAUGUGGGUGAUCUUGAUUUUAAAUUAGUGAGAAUUUUGGGAGACAAUUGGUCAAAGUUUUAAUUAAAAUUAUUAGAUAAAUAUGGUUGGACAUAUUGUUGGGUUCAAAUUCAAUUUUGGAUUUUUUUUUUUUUUUUUUUUUUUUUUAACUGAUGUUGUUUUUGGUUGGAUACAAGUAGUGAAGUUGACCAUGACAACUGUAAUGUUAGACUGUUUUGAUGCAAUUCGUGUAGAAUUCUCUGAUCUAAAUGCAAUUUCUUUUUUAGAAUAUAAUUAGAACAAGCUAAGUCAAGUGAAACUGUUUUCAAGUGAAAAUGUUUCGUAGUGAAGAGGUCUUUAAGGGGAAUUGAGAUUAAUCAUCUGAAUGCAUUAGUACAUCUCAUAGGAUGCUCUUUGAGAGGUGACAGAACACUGAUAUUUCUUCCACCACAUAGACUUUUGAAAAAUGUCAUAGAUAUUGGGAGUGACCUACUAAAAAGCCAAAGACAAACAAGUUACAUAUGCUAGAUAUCAUAGAAAUAAAUAGCAGUUAUCUCAUGAAAUUUGUAAAACCACAAAAAGAAACUUGAAAAUAGAUAACAUCAGGAGAGUGUAGCUGAAUAAGCUCAGCGAUAGCUUGCAUCCUCUUAUGCACGUCUAAGUUUACUCUGAACCACACAUUGUAUGUAAGGAUCUUUAUCACACCUGAAUUUCAGAAUUUUUCAGCAAUUUCCUUGGAACUGAACUGCUUGUUUUCUCCUUUCCAAGCCAUUUUCAGAAUCCAAUAAGCAAGAUACAAUAGAUCCCAAAAUGAAUUAUUUCUAUGAAGGACUUGAAUUAUAAGAACUAUAGAGAGCCUGAAUCUUACAACAAUGAAUAGGAACAGCAGAUAAGUGACUGGUAAAUAAAAUAACUUUAAAAUAGAAGACAACAAAAUUUUAGCACUUUUAAAUGAAUCAAUAAUGUCCAUGGGAGUACUUGGUAAUCUAAAUUGUGUUGUUUCACAAUUAGAUUAAAAAAAAUUGAUCGUGGACAUUAAAAAUUUCAAAGAAGAAAUUUAAAUGAGUUUCAAAGCAUCCUACAAAAUUCACACUAACCUUCAAUUGGGUGUUACUUGAGGUUAAUUAUGUACUAGUGUCUUUUCUUUUUAGUUUACAUUUGAUUUUUCUAUAUAUCGUUCUCUUUUGUAUUCUCAGAUUUUGUGAUGUGAGUGCCCCGUGCUUUUUAGUCGAUUAGAGGUUCUAAACAUAUCAGCAAACCGUUUGAGUGAUGCUUGUGGAAUUUACCUGUCCAUCAUAUUGUAUAACUGCAAAGGACUUUAUAGUCUGAACUCUGAAUAUUGAACAAUGUUCGAUCAAGUCCAGAACAAUUCAGAUAGUUGCUAGUAUUGCAUCAUCUAUCAUGCUCAAGGGAUUGACAAUUCAAUAUAUAGUCCGCAGCAGUUUCAAGGUACACUGCAUUCUUCUCUCUGUGAUUAUUGACUAUAAGCCUGGUAAAUUGUAAAUUUAACAUCUCAUAAUGAACUUCAGACUAGGACUUGGUUCUAAUACUCUCCCUUGUUUCUGGUGUGUAUUUAUAAAUGAAGUUAUGCUCGCCCAUGAUAAUGACCUAGUUGUAUGUCUAAGUAUGCUAUUCAACAUUCAAUUUGAUGACAGUUAUUAGCACAGCACACAUGUCAGUUAUCAUUGGCAUAUCUUUUUACUUGUUUUAUAAGUCAUUAAGUAGCUUGCAUAUGAAAACAUAUACCUUAAGAACCACUCAUGAAGUCUACACUUCUAGUGAACAUGUGUAGCAAGUAUCAUCUCACUCUGUUUCUAUUGAAGGCACAAACAGUACCACAAGUUUAUUUUUAAGAAGAGAUUUUUUUUUUCUUCGCGUUAUUCAGAUCCAAACUUUAGAAUGAUCAGAGGAAAGGGUUGUUAUAAGCUGUAAUAUUGUCUAUUCUUCCAACUUAUAAGCUGUUGUAUUAAGCUGUUUCCUUAUAGCUGAAUUAAUGCAGAGAGAAGUAAAUUCUUGCCCACUUCUUCAUAGCAAGUAUAUGUCCUUAGGUUUUGAUGCUUGCUUGAUGCUACUGCUGCUGGUGUUGCCUGUUGCUGUUGGUCGGCUUAUGUGCUGCUGAUGUUCAGCUUCCGAGUUGCUGCUGUUCUGUUUCCGAGCUGCUGAUGUUCUGUUUUCGAGCUGUUAUUGUUUUGCACAUUGUAAUUUUUUAUUUAUUUGUUGUAAUUGUAAUAUUACAAG